AUGUGGCAAUGGAUUCGCAGGCGACUCCCGUCGGGCGUUGAGGUGCGUAAGCGCAAUGGCCCGGGCUCCGACAUUUGCCCGCUCUGCUACGUCCCCGAAGACUCGAAUCACAUCUUCUUCUCCUGCGUGACCGCUCAAUUCGUUUGGAGCUGCUUCCGUGAGGUGGUGGGUGGAUCUUGGUGUCACACCAACUUCCCCGACCUGUAUGACGAGCUCCAGUCCUCCCCUUUGACUUCUCGCCACAUUAGAUGGCUUGAGAUUGGAGUCAUCGCUUGGACCCUCUGGACGAUCCGUAAUAAGCUUGUGAUCUAG
rnacentral:rRNA from 1 species